GUUAGGAUUGCCGUUCAUGGUUAGGGUAAGGGAUAGGCCAUGCCUGCACCCUCCCUUGGAGUGGGAGGGCGUUCACACAUGAGCCACACACCCCCUCAUCUCGGGAGGGUGUUCACCAGUAGGAACCAGUCCCCUUCAGUGGGGGGGAUGUUGAUGUAUGCGCCUGCACCCAUCUCGUGUGUGAGGGUGUUCAUGCAUGGACACCACGACCCUUGGCGAGGGAGGGCAUUUGUCCAUGCACCAUGCCCUCCUUGGCUCAGGAGGUGUUCACGCAUGAGCACAGUGCCCCCUUGGCUUGGGAAGGUGUUCAGGUAUGUGCAUGAACCUGCCCCCCAGCGUGGGAGGGGGUGUGCCCUCCCCCCUCAGGCCCUGGAGGGGGUCACCUGUGCCCAGCACCACUAGUCAGCAAGGGAGUAGUGAUGCCACUAUUAAAUCUGACGUUUCAUGGACGGCUGUUUUCACUUUCACAGCUGAAGAAGCAUGCAUCUCUUAAGGUCAGGGGUAGGGUUAGCAUUACAGUUAGGGGUUAAGAUAAGGGCUAGGUCAUGCUUGCUCUCCCCCCUCAGCACAGGAAGAUUUCACACAUUACCCCACUAUCCUGAGCAAGGGAGAGUGUUCACCCUUUCACCCCAACCCCUGAGAGUGGUAAAAUAUUGAAGCACGUGCUCCACUCCACUUCCACUGGGGAGGGCUUUCACACAUGUGUAGAUCCCCCUUUCGGGACAGAUUGUUCACAUAUGUGCAUGACCACCUGUCGGGUCGGGAGGGUGUUCACUCAUGGGCACACCCCACCUCUGCAUGAGAGAUGGUUCAUGCAUGUGUCUUGCUCACCUCAGCAGGGAGGGUUUUUACGCAUGUGCACAGCCCCACCUUGGUGUGGGAGGAGGUCACCCAUGCAGAGCGCCACCCUUCAAUGAGGGAAUAGUGAUGCCACUAUUAAAUGUGACGUUUCAUGAAUGGUUAUUUUCAAUUUCACAGCUGAAGUAGCAGACAACUCUUAAGCUGAAGAAGCAUGCAUCACUUAAGCUGAAGAAACACAGCUGAAGAAACGCGGCCAGGGAGGGCAUUGACGUAUGCUCCCCGUUUCCCUCGCCAGGAUGGUGUUCACGUAUGUGCAAAGCACCCCCCUCCUUGCCGAAGGGGGUUCAGGCAUGCCCACAACCCCCGCUCUGUGAGGCAGACCAUUUGUACAGGCACACAACCCUCCCUCAGCAAGGGACAGCGUUCAUGCUUGGCCCCACUCACCUCGGUGGGAAGGGUGUUCACACAUGCACAUAACCCCCCUCAGCAUUGGAGGGCGUUCAAAAAUGUGCCCCACCCCACUUGACGCCAGAGGUGGUUCAGGAUUCUGCCUUGCCCCUGGUUGGUGUGUGAGAUGGUCACCCAUGCACAGUGCCACCUUUUAGGGAGAGAGUAGUGAUGUCACUAUUAAAUGUGAUAUUUCACGAAUGGUGCUUUCACUUUCACAGCUGAAGAAACACACAUCUCUUAAGGUAAGUGUUAGGGUUGGCACUGACAUAAGGGGUAGGGUAAGGCUUAGGUAGUACUUCCUCCACCCUGGGUAUGAAAGGUUUUCAAGCAUUAGCGUUCCCCCCCCCCCUUUGGACAGGAGGGGGUUAACACAUGCACCCUCCCACAUUAAGGGAGGGAGUCACCAUUGCGCCACUGUCUCUGCAAUGGAGGGGUGUCACUCAUGUUCUUUCCCAUAACUUGGCAUGGGAGGGGAUCAUGCAUGUGCCUCUUCUGCACCCCUUCAUCGGCAAUGUAGCCUUGAUGUUCCUCUUAGGCCAGACGUAUUUUGCACUGCCUCGGCUGCUCAGUGGAUUAAGUGUCCCACUUCAGUUCAGGUCAUAGUCUCACGGUUUGUGGUUUCGAACCCUGGCUUCAUCUCUGUGCUGAUGACUCUGAACAUGGAUCCUACUUCAAAUACUGUGUCUCACUCUCUGUCUGCCCCUUCCCCACGUGUGUUCUGUCUGUCUCUCUCUCUCUCUCUCAAAAAACAGUGAAGCUAAAAACAUUUUAAAGCAGCUCCAUCAAUCUACUUGUCUUCUUGCCCUAUUCCCACCUCUUCACGGGAAGGUCCAUUUCACCGAUUGGAAGAGACAGUAAAACGCUCGUGUGGCCAUUCAAAUGAGUCACUAUUUAGGAAACAAGUGAUUAUGCUACUUUUGCAUGGUCGGGAUACCAUGGCCAUUUCAUGAAUGUCCCUAGGCAGGCGAGGCCUCUAAAACUAGAAAUGCUAGAGGUGAUUUUACUGGUAAGCAGGUGGGGUUUGUGUUCGCUGAGUUCCUUUUACUUCGUUUCAUCUUUCCUUGAUUGCCUAUCUGUGUUGGGUCAACAAUUGGUUUGAUAUUGACUUUACAGUUAGGUUAUUUUUAUCUCAUGGUUAACUAUCCAUGGUUAUCCGCUCUGAUAGAGCUUAAGCAAGUACAAAUAUUUCUUGUUGCACAUACUAGCAUUAUUGUUUCCUGUGCACCUGCAGCUGUUUCUCCCGACCCACGGGGAGCAAUCACUUCCCAUCUAGCACCACCUGCUUUGUCUUCCUAUGCCUAGCAGUGCACGUGCCGUGCCUGCAGAACUUCCCUUGUUUCUCUGUCAGCUGAGUCUGAAUGGGCUUCCUCUCCCACUCGUCCCUACUUCUCAUCUCUUUAAUGGAUGACACACAUCGCUGAAGGUCACAGUGAAGUCUCAAACUUCAGUAUGUAGAUUGAUUACGUGGCACCAUUUUACAGUCUCACUUGAUUACCUACUUUCUUUAAAAAUUACUUCCUUCCUCCUCCCACCGUCUGGGCCGCUGCUCACCAGUGUCUGUGUUGGUAGGUCCUCAUCUUCUUCCUGCCCCCCAUCUGCUUUCCAUCCGCCCUUACUCUGGGGUGAUCUCAGCCAGCCUCAGGCUUGUAUAUGCCAGCAGCUGGGGCCUCUAAGUCUUUAUGCACUGCCCACAGCUGUUCAUGUCUCCAGACACCUGACUCCAGCUGUGCACCACACAGGUGCUACCCUCCCCAGACUCUGCUACCUCCCUGUAGGCCUCUCUAUUCCCCUCCCCUUUUUUACUAGGCUGCUGCCACACUGGCCCAUCCCUGUUCCCUGAGCUUGUCAGGCACAUACUCCUGCUUCAGGUCUUUGCACUCACUUUGCCUCUCUCUGUCGGGGAUAUACUUCCGCGUGCCAACAAGACAUACUCCCUCAUUUCCGUCAUAACCUUGCUCUGACAUCACCUGCUCAGUGGAGUCUCUGCUAGCUCUCUAUGUAAAACUGAAAACUGUUCCUUCUCCGACCUGAACACCCCAUAUCCCUUUCCUGCAUUCUUUUUCUUCCUGGCCCUUGGCACCAUCUGUUUUUCUUUCUUGCUUGCUGGAUGUCGCCUACUGCAGUCCCUGCCAGAUUGUCGGCUCCAUGGGGUCCAAAGACCAAACUAGCUUUGUUUAGGGCUGGUUCCUUAGGGCCCUCGAACAGUGCCCAACUCCUUCAAAGGCCCACACACCAUUUGCUGAGCAAGUAAAUAUUAGGAUUUCUUAUUAUUUUGCUGGGUCCGCCAUCACAAUGUACCACAGACUGGGUGGCUUAAGCAACAGAAAUUGAUUUAUUUAUUUUCUCACACUUCAGAUCAAGGUGUGGCCAGGGUGGGUGUCCUCUCUCCAUGACUGGUGGAUGGCCUCCUUCCCACUGUCUUCACGUGGUCUUCCUUCUGUGUGUGUAGUUGCCCACUCUCUUCCUAUAGGACACCGGUUAUCAGACUAGAGUCCCUCCCCACAAAUGAGCUCAUUCGACCUCCACUUUACCUUUCAAGAUCUGGUAUCCAAGUACAGUCCCAUGGGUAGUUAGGACUUCAAUGUAUGGAUUUUGGGGGCAAAUCCAUUCCAUAACAGGUUUCUGUCUGUUGUACCUAGUCACUAACUACAUGGGUUUUUUUUUUUCUCUAUGCCCUUGUGCCCGUUAUUUGCUCACACAGUGCUAACCCCAGUUUGCCCUUAGCCCAAGUUAUAACUCUAUUUAUUUGUAUAGACUUGCAUCUUCCCUCUACCUCUAUACUCCAAGUUCCUGGCUGGCACUGGAAUUACAUCUUUAGCACGGACAUCAUAACCUCCACGUGAGGUAAGUAUGAUUAUUUUCAUUUUUAAAAUCAACAAUCUGAAGCUCAAAAGAGAGUAGGUCAUGUUUCUGAGAUCACAGUACUAGUAAGUGCUGUCCUUUGGAUAACUUUGUUCUCAUGGGCUCCAAAGCCCACUUUCUUUCAUCUACCACAUGUCUCCAAGAUGAACGCGGAAAAGUCAUACUUCAGCCUGGUAUAAUAUAAGCAAUGGUACGUGUAAUGCUGGUGUAACAAUUCAGGAAAUGGGGUUAAGUUUAGUAUCUAAGUAAUUAUACCCACAGGUUGAAUUUCAAUGUCACAUCCUUUUAUUUUUUACUGCUGCAAUUUCUGUUAUCCUUAAUGAUUAUAUAAACGUAUUCUUCCCUUUGCAAAAUUUAGCCAGUAAGAAUACUGAGUUUGUUUCCUUUGUAACAGGUCUGAAUUAUACAAUGAAUUCAUGAUGUCAAGAUAACAGCUGUUAUUUUUUCCUACAAUAUAGAGGAAAAGGUCAUUGCCUUUGUUGUAAGAGUUUACCAUGUGUUCUUGGUAACAUGACUUAGCUGUAUUGGUGAAAACCCGUCGUAGAUUUUGAAAGUCAGUUAUUUAUAGUUAAGAGAGUAUCGUUCUUUCUUUGGGUGCAGCUGAUUGUUUGAAAUAGAACUUAGGAUUUUUCUGCAUAGAUUGUCUAUUUCAGAAUGAGCUUUGUUUUAAAAAGUAUGUUAUAUUUGCAUUCAUGCAAGUUGUACCAUCAUUAAAUUGACAGGAAAGCAGCUGUUGAUAGUUGUCAUUUGGACAUGUAGAUGGAAAUCCUAAGGGUCAUGGUGUGACUCCUUACACGUGUUGAGCUCUGGUUUCAUUUGGCAUUUCCAAACCAUUGCCAUGACCUUAUGAAUGUUGAUCAAGUGGCCAUAUAAUGGUUGUUUUAAAUUGGUAUCAGUGGUGUAGAGAUGAUUCUUAAGUUGUGUAUGAGGAAGCUGUUGGUUUUCUGCUUCUAUGUCUGUGUAGCUCCUAAAAAUAGAAGACUAGCGCAUCUUAUCAAAAUUUAUUUUGUUCAAAGUCAAUGCACCUUGUGAAUGAGCUAAAGGCUUAGAUAAUAGUCAAUACUUUUGGAGUCUGAUAUUAAUUUGCAAAUUUAAAAUAGGUCUAUGGGCAUCUGUGUGGCUCAGUUGGUUAAGCAUCUGACUUUGGCACAGGUCAUGAUCUCACUGCUCAUGACUUUGAGCUCCAUGUUGGGCUCUGUGCUGGCAGCUGGGAGCCUGGAGCCUGAUUGCGAUUCUGUGUUCCCUCUCUCUGCCCCUCCCUGGCUCAUGCUCUUUCUCUCUCUCUCAAAUAUAAACUUAAACAUAGAAAAUAGGUCUAGAAUAAAUCUGUAGACCAUAACAUAUUUAUAGUGACUGCUGAUUGAAACAAAGAAAUAGCCUGAAAUUCCAAAAAUACAUUACUGUUGUUUCCCUAGGCUCCCAUUAAAUUCCAGGUUGACCAUUAAGCUGAAUACAAGCAGUAAUCUUUUAGUAACUUGGAAGAGAUAAGCAUACUAUCAUAGCUAGUAAGGUUUGGUAUAUGUCGUUUUGGUAGACCUAUUUUUUUUAAUGAUGAAAAAAUUGAUUUGAGGUCUCUUUUAUUUGGGUAUUCAGGAUUAAGAAAAGUUACCCAAGGCAAAUGAAUUAAGACCAUUUUAGAACUGACCUGGACUUAAACAGCCAGAGACUGGAGUCAUGAUAAAGAUAGUUUGAACAUGCCAUUUCAUCAAAUAAAAAAAAAACAACUCCUGAAUGACAAUCAUCAUGUUGGAGGAGAGUUUCUGGUGUUCUCUCCACAAAUGGUGCAUGAUUUUCAGUCAAGGAUACAGCCUCACUGACUGUACUUUUACUGACAUGAUGGUUCAGAUACCAACAAUGUUGUCUGUUGGGAUUGUCUUUUACAAAACUGAUAUCCUUUCAGUUUUCAGCUUAAUUAAUAUACCAAGGAGAAAAAAAUGUUUCCCUCUUUCUGAAAAAUAAUCCCAUUUGUAUUUAGAGUUAUCAUUAAACAUAGUAUUUUAAAAAUGGUUAAUAAAUUGGAAGUCAAUAUAAAUUUGCUUGUGAAGUUAUCUAAUGGAAAACUGUUCCCAAAGCAGUUAUUUUAUGUUUUAUAGGAAAAUUAAUCUUUUAUGUCCUUACUGCAUUUAUGUUAUAUCCUAUUCACUUUUGUUUCAUGCUAUUUGUGUGUGUGUGUGUGUGUGUGUGUGUCUGUGUGUGUGUGUGUGUGUGUGUCUGUAUGUGUGUGUCUGUGUGUUUGCAACUAAGUGAAAUGUGCAAUAUUUGGUCAUUUAAAAAGAUUCACUAAUUUAGGCAAAGUCAGCCAUAAACAAAUGCAAUACAUUAUGUCCAAAGUAGUCAAGCAGAUUUUGCAUCAUGAGUAAAAGUUGCUUUAUCUCAAAUGAAUUUUCUCUUCUCUUUUCUUUUUAACAAGCCAAGUCAAAGGUGAAUAUGUUCUUUCUGCUCACCUUGAGGCAGGGCAAGAACAGAUUUGUGUCAGAGCACAUUGCCUGUAUUUAUGAGAAACUAGGGAAAUUAAGAAAGCCAGUUAGGUACAAACCUUAGUGGGGACUCAUGACUGACUCAGCUUUUCAACAAUAUUCUGUUGGGAUGUCUUUUAUUUACUGGGUUAGUUGUUUUUUUUUUUUUAAUUUUAGUUAAUUUAUUUUUUAAAUUUACAUCCAAGUUAGUUAGCAUAAUGUGGAACAAUGAUCUCAGUAGUAGAUUACUUAAUGCCCCUUACCCAUUUAGCACAUCAGCCCUCCCAUAAUCCCUCCAGUAACCCUCUGUUUGUUCUCCACAUUUAAGAGUUUUUUAAUGUUUUUG